UUCAAUUUUUCACUUCCCACCAUUCGACCAAAACCCGAGCUCGCGCUUCCCUCUCAAAAUCACUCUUCAUCUCCCCGAGCAGCCAUCUAUCUCUCCCACUCUCCCUGUCAGCUUUCUCUCUCUUCCACUCAACAAAACUACCUCUCUCUUCUCACAGCGCCCAUCUUUCUCCUUCGCCUUUACAAAAAUCAGAGAAAGUGGGAAGAAGAAAACAUAUAGCGCCAUAUAGACGAUGAUUGAGAAAUCGAAACCCAAAUUUCUCUUACUCUUUCUCUCCGCCCCCUUCUGCAAAACCCUAGCUUUCUCUCGCCGCCGCCCCAUCAAUUUAUGUUUCAGAUGAAAGGGUCAAUACAGAAGCCCACCGAACUGGUUGAAGAUCUCUAUUCCCGAUGUAAGCAAAUCUCCAAACCCUAGAUUUCUGAUGUGGGUUUUGUAAUUUGGGGGUUUUUAAUUGGGAGACCUAGAAUUUUAUAUCGAAGACGGAGAUGGACUCAAAGACGGAAAACGUUUUGGAGAUGGAGUCAUGCCUGGGUCUUCAACUAGGAGGAAACUCUCAAUAUUUGAAGCUUGAAAUUUGCCAUAUUGCUUCUCUUUGUGAGAAAUUGGUGAAUUUGGAAAGAGUGGAGCUUUGUGCAUCGAAUAGCCAUUCAAUUCAAAGAUCGACAUUUUGCAGGUGAGGGCAAAAUCUGUUUUACCACCCAUCCAUCCGUAUGUUUCAGUUUUGGUAGUUGAGACCGUAAUGAGAGAUAGAAAGAGAGAGAUAUAGAUGAGAGCAGCCCCAGUUGAAAGCUGAAGAAUCUCUUCUUUGAAAUUUGAUAGAUUUAUCUCCCAAUUGUCCCAUCGGUUUGACCGAUUUUGAGUCCUUCAUCUUACUCUGAAGAAUUUGAAGAAGGAUAAUCACCCAGACACUCAAAUCGUUUUAACUUCAUAUGAAAAAUCACUGUAUCGAUUGGAGUCUUUGAAAUUAUUCACAGUCCAAGUUCUGAGGGAAACAGUGUGGAGAGUUAGAGUUUGAGGUGAUAUCUCACUCACCUCUGUAGUUUUAUAUGCUAUUAUAUCUAUAAAUCUCUAGAGAACUAAGAGGUUAACUUUAUAUGGAUUUUGCGGUCCAAACAUCAAAUUAGUAAUAGUAAUUGUCCUUGGCAGGGAGCGGAAAAGGAGGUUCAUCCAACUAUAUAGUCCUGCUCUUUUGAAUAGAAAAUAAUUAGAUACGGGAAAUUGGCACUCAGAUUCUUGUUCGAACAAGUCAACCUUGUCUGUGUGUUUUGGUUCUUCAAUAGUAUAUUGUCGCGUUAAAGAUGCCAUCUAGUUGCUUUCUAAAUGUUCUGAGUUCUCUUCCAUUUCAUAAAUUGUCUCCCUAUCAAAAAGAAUAUGAUUAUGUUAUCCAUUUCAAUGUGAAAAUAGUUCCUGGUUCCUUCAGUGAGAAUUCUCCUUUAAAGGAACAUUUAGUUUCUGACUGGUUUGAUUUUCCGUGGUGUCUAAAGUUUCAUAUAAUAGGUUUUGUAGGCUUUGUUCAGGCUUAUGCAUUCGUUAAUCACUUAGCGUAUGAAUUCUAUCUAUGUUUUAUCUGUAGCUGUUUCCUAUGGAACUAAUUAAUCUCCCUAAUUUAUAUGCAGGAUAACAUCUUAAAACUUCGAAAAGUUUAUGAUUCUUUUCUAGCAGAGUUUCCUUUGUGUUAUGGGUAUUGGAAAAAGUAUGCAGAUCAUGAGGCACGUUUUGGUGUUAUUGAUAAAGUUGUGGAGGUUUAUGAACGAGCAGUUCAAGCUAUUACCUAUUCAGUUGACAUUUGGUUGCAUUACUGCACAUUUGCCACAACUACUUUUGGAGAUCCAGACACUAUCAGAAGGUAAUAACUAUUCCUUAUGCAUUCUUAUUGUUAGUCAUGUUGGGAGUUUAUGAUUGCAUGGUUUUCUCUGUUGCAAAGAACUAGUAUCCUUGUUUUCUAACCUCACUUCAGUAUGAUUGCAACAGUGGUUCCUCACAUAUAUGACGGAAAGGUUUGGUGGGAAUGCACUUUAGAAAUGUUUUCUGAUGUGCAAUCCCUACGUUUUGACGCUACUGUUCGGGUGUAGCUUUUUGUUUUGUCUUGUUCUUUUUCUCCCCUCCCUAAGGAUCUAAUUCUAUAUUUUGGCUUCACUAUACCCAUUCUAUCUCCCUUACCAUGAAGACACACGUCUUAGUAAUUUAGUGGUCAAUGAAUUCUGGCUCUAUUUUAACUUUAACACUUUGAAGUGCAUCAUUAUCCAAAUUGCUGCUGGGAAGAUCUCAUCCAAUUAAGGGCUUAGAUGGCCUCUAGCACUGCUCCAUUUGACGGACAUAGUAUGGUUUAUAUCAGGAAGGCUUUUUGAGCAAAGAUUGGCGUAUGUUGGAACCGAUUACUUGUCCUUUCCUCUUUGGGACAGGUACAUUGAUUAUGAAUUUAUGCAGCAAGCAUGGAGCCAGCUUGUUGAAAUUGGUUUUGCAAAAAAAGAAAAGAAAAGAAAAAAAUCUGUUGCAAAUGAUAGAAGAAUUAAUAGUUAUUACUAAUUAAAGGGUGUGGCUUAUCUCUAUGUUCCAUUGAUCUUUAGCCUUCGGCCCUGCAAUUUGGAAAAGGUGGAAAGGUUAUUUUAGAUGUGUGAUGUCCUGAUAGUCCAGGAGGCAGUGUUCAAACUGAAGGUAUUUUUACUAACUUGUUUUUCUUUGCUUUCAUACUUUUGUAUUGAAUCUAAAAAUGGAGAACUAACAACCUUAAAGCUUAUGGCUUUCUCUAUUAUAUCAGGAGGAUUACAUUAAUCAUCAAAAACACUUGGUUUCUGUGGCAAAAUAUAGCACAUGACCAAAGAGUGUUACACCUUGAAUGAUAAGAACUGCACUUACUGACAUGUAAGAUCAUUUCCCUUCCAUAUCUAUCAAUUGCUAGUAACAAUGGAGGUACUAGCAUUGAAUUUCUAUUUUUCACUUUUAUAUGCCAACUUCUGGAUCCUCUUUUGAUCAAAGACUCAAAGCAUCUCUGGUUGUUAUGCAAUACUGCCAGCCUGCAACUGAAGGUUAUGGAGAGCACAUGUGGAUUCACUUACUCCUACAAUAGUAGACAUGCUCAGUGAAAAAGCUAAAGUAAAUCAAAGCAGGUCCUGAGCCUUUGUUCUCUGUUAAUUAUAUGCAGCAUCUCAGCAAGGAAAAUUUCUAUUCUAGGACAACUUUAGGCUGUUGUUGAUGCAGCUUCUGCUGGCAUCCUCAUUAUCACCACAAAGUGUUCUUCAAGACUUGGUUGGUUUCAACAUUUCAGUAAAUGUUGUUAGAGAACUAGUUCUGUUGAUGUAAUGACGUUGUUGGAUAUAUGGAUGAAUGUAUCGGAUUUUUACAUAAAUGAAUGUGUUUUGGAUGUGAUGUCA